UACGUAGGGUGCGAGCGUUAAUCGGAAUUACUGGGCGUAAAGCGUGCGCAGCGGUUUUGUAAGCCAGAUGUGAAAUCCCCGGGCUUAACCUGGGAAUGGCAUUUGGGACUGCAAGGCUCGAGUGCGGCAGAGGAGACUGGAAUUCCUGGUGUAGCAGUGAAAUGCGUAGAUAUCAGGAGGAACACCGAUGGCGAAGGCAGGUCUCUGGGCUGACACUGACGCUCAUGCACGAAAGCGUGGGGAGCAAACAGG
rnacentral:rRNA from 1 species